rnacentral:misc_RNA from 1 species
UUGACUAUGUCUUUUGUUUCCAGGUCUGCAGAUUAUUUACCGCAAUCAACCCUCUAUGCUUAGCUUAUGAAACUUAUUCCUUUACGAUCAUGAUAUUCUCAUCUUAUUUUAAUGAAAUGGAAGCUUUUUGCCUAUGGAACAUAGUUGAGAUGCAUAUUUAUGUGGAAAUUGAGCUGGAUUGUUUGACUUUUCUGCUUUUUCUAACGGUGUAUAAGAAAGAAGCUUAUCAGGAUCACAAAAUAUGAUAAGCAUCUUACAUGUUCUAUUAUGUAUCAUUUAUGUAAAAUUGAAGCAUGAUUGUCAUAGUUUUUCGGUAAUACUUUGUUGUUGUGGUCACUAAAGAAUUUCAAGAUCUACGAUAGAUCAUUUUUUUUAAUUCAUCUCAUAAUUAAUUAUUCAUUUGGCUUAUAGUUUACUUUGAAUUGAAUGCUUUUAUCAUUUCAAGUAAAUAACUUUUUGUUGCAUUGUGCUGGAAGCAUAGUUAUUAAAGGCGCAAGGCGCGCUAAGGCACCAAGGGGUCCUGGAGCCUAGGCGAAGGCGCACGCCUAAGCGAGAUGAGGCGCAAAAAAAUA